GGAGAGGUGGGUGAGUGGCUGAAACCACCGGUUUGCUAAACCGGCAUACUCCAACCGGGGUAUCGCGGGUUCGAAUCCCGCCCUCUCCGCAA
rnacentral:tRNA from 1 species